rnacentral:rRNA from 1 species
AACGUAGGAGACGAGCGUUAUCCGGAUUUACUGGGCGUAAAGCGCGUGCAGGCGGUUUAUUAAGUCACUUGUGAAAGCGCCCGGCUCAACUGGGCGAGGCCGUGUGAGACUGAUAGACUUGAGAGAGGUAGAGGCGAAUGGAAUUCCCGGUGUAGCGGUGAAAUGCGCAGAUAUCGGGAGGAACACCAAUGGCGAAGGCAGCUCGCUGGGACGUUACUGACGCUGAGACGCGAAAGCGUGGGGAGCAAACAGG